GGUCAAGAUACAAAGGGCGUAUGGUGGAUGCCUUGGUACCAGGAGGCGAAGAAGGACGCGGCCAGCGGCGAAACGCCACGGGGAGUUGCAAGCAAACCUAGAUCCGUGGAUAUCCGAAUGGGGGAACCCAAUAGAGGCAAACCUCUAUUAUCCCUGCCUGAAUAUAUAGGGCAGGCGAAGCCAGACC
rnacentral:ncRNA from 1 species